GACGAACGCUGGCGGCGUGCCUAAUACAUGCAAGUAGAACGCUGAAGGAGGAGCUUGCUUCUCUGGAUGAGUUGCGAACGGGUGAGUAACGCGUAGGUAACCUGCCUGGUAGCGGGGGAUAACUAUUGGAAACGAUAGCUAAUACCGCAUAACAGUAGAUAUCGCAUGAUAUCUACUUGAAAGGUGCAAUUGCAUCACUACCAGAUGGACCUGCGUUGUAUUAGCUAGUUGGUGAGGUAACGGCUCACCAAGGCGACGAUACAUAGCCGACCUGAGAGGGUGAUCGGCCACACUGGGACUGAGACACGGCCCAGACUCCUACGGGAGGCAGCAGUAGGGAAUCUUCGGCAAUGGACGGAAGUCUGACCGAGCAACGCCGCGUGAGUGAAGAAGGUUUUCGGAUCGUAAAGCUCUGUUGUAAGAGAAGAACGAGUGUGAGAGUGGAAAGUUCACACUGUGACGGUACCUUACCAGAAAGGGACGGCUAACUACG
rnacentral:rRNA from 1 species